rnacentral:rRNA from 1 species
AUAGCGUAUAUUAAAGUUGUUGCAGUUAAAAAGCUCGUAGUUGAACUUCAGACCUGGCUGGGUGGUCGGCUUUUCGGCUAGUACUGUCCGGCUGGGCCUUACUUCUUGGUGAGCCGGUGUGCCCUUUAUUGGGUGCGUUGGUGAACCAGGACCUUUACCUUGAGAAAAUUAGAGUGUUCAAAGCAGGCCUAUGCCCGAAUACAUUAGCAUGGAAUAAUAAAAUAGGACGUGCGGUUCUAUUUUGUUGGUUUCUAGAGUCGCCGUAAUGAUUAAUAGGGAUAGUUGGGGGCAUUAGUAUUCAGUUGCUAGAGGUGAAAUUCUUGGAUUUACUGAAGACUAACUACUG